ACUCGACGUUGAUAAUGCUAAUACUGUAAAUAACCCAUGAUCAGCUUCGAAAAUAGGGCUGAAAUCCAUUGACCAUACAGAUUCCUUUUUUGCUGCUUGUGUUAAACUUAAAUCCGGUAUAUUAGAACUAUCAAUAAGGACAGUAUCGCAUAAUGAAACAUGCUUUAGUUUCUUAAUGUCGCAGUUAUCAAAAGAAACUUUUCGAAAUUCAUUCUGCUUAAAAAACCUCUAAUUGUCUCACGUUAACUAACCUCCUCACCACUGUAGGAAAUCAAAUCCAAUAAUAAUUUCUCUUUUUCUUUCAAUGCAGAUGUGUUGUAACAAUAAACCACAUUCUAAAAAAAAAAGUUUCUAUUUGAUACAUAUACACAUAUUGUUACCU